rnacentral:rRNA from 1 species
UACGAGGGGGGCAAGCGUUGUUCGGAAUUAUUGGGCGUAAAGGGCGCGUAGGCGGUGCGGUAAGUCUGAUGUGAAAUCUCCGGGCUCAACUCGGAGUCUGCAUCAGAAACUGCCGGGCUUGAGUAUGGGAGAGGUGAGUGGAAUUCCUGGUGUAGCGGUGAAAUGCGUAGAUAUCGAGGAGAACACCUGUAGGCGAAAGCGGCUCACUGGACCAUAACUGACGCUGAUGCACGAAAGCUAGGGGAGCAAACAGG